GCCGGGUGCGGUGGCGCGUGCCUAUAGUCCCAGCUACUCGGGAGGCUGAGAUGGGCGGAUGACUUGAGUCCAGGAGUUCUGGGCUGCAGUGCGCUAUGCGGAUCGGGUGUCCGCACUAAGUCCGGCAUAAAUAUGGUGACCUCCCGGGAGCGGGGGACCACCAGGUUGCCUAAGGAGGGAUGAACAAGCCCAGAUCAGAAACGGAGCAGGUCAAAACUCCUGUGCUGAUCCGUAGUGGGAUUGAGCCUGUGAAUAGCCACUGCACUCCAGCCUGGGCAACAUAGGGAGACCCCGUCUCA
rnacentral:SRP_RNA from 1 species